CGUCAGUACCGAAAGAAAACGGCAGCGGGGAUGGUGCUCGAGUCGUGUCUCCGUGGCUAAGUGUCAUUUUUGUGGUGUUUUGGCUCGUCGUGUUAUGGCGGAAUGGCGCAGGUUAACGGCUGACUUGGCGGCUGGCUGACUGGCGGGGGAGAGGAAGAGAAGAAGCAGCAGUGGUCGUCUCCUGUUCUUAAGACUUCUAUACACUAAGAAUAUUAAGAUUUAAGCGAAUGAAGUCUUUAGAACCUACAAAGACGAUAGUAAGGGCUCAAGAGUUCAAGGUCUUUCUCCGCAACUGAACCCUAAAGACCUAACUUACGUUCUAUUACACUAAGACACCAGGGAAUGAAGUCUUUAGAAUCUACAGGACGACAUUAAGUGCUCAAGUUUUCGAGCGUGUUCUUUCCACAACUGAACCUAAAGGGCUAAAAAUGUCUUGGUACACUUAAGGCCCUAGCGAAAGGAGUCCUUACAACCAGGACGACAACAGACGUUCAAAAGUUCAAGGGCUCUCUGCACAACUAUACUCUAAGGACCAAAAAUAUCUCGAUACACUAAGACCUCACUGCCUUUAAAACCAGAACGAUAACAAGUAUUCAAGAGUUCAAGAGUUCAAGAGUUCAAGGAUUCUCUGCACAACCAGACCCUAAGAACCAGAUGUUUGUUCCAGACCACCAAGAAGUGUAUAGACUGGACUGGAGUUCCUGGAAUCAAUCCUCUUUGCUCUUCCAGACUUUGACUUGAAUGUGAAUGAUGGAGAGAAGUGAUUAUUUUGUUUGUUGAAGACAGAGAGUGAGAGAGAGAGAGAGAGAGAGAGAGAGAGGGAGAGGGAGAGACAGAGGGAAAGCAUUAAUCUUACCAGGAAGUGUUGUGUGUUACUGAGUAUUGUGAAAGACUGCUGUUUGAAAGUGGUCAUGCAUAUUGUCGUGCUGCACAUACUUUAUACUCUUGUUAGUGAAUGAGUGGGCCUUUUUUUCAUCAUUGGGCCUUUUCUUCGGUCUUUUUUGUUGCCCUUGAAUAGAAUCUAUCCUGUAUGAAGUUGAAUAAGUGGGCCUUUUUUCUUCAAUGAACCUUUUUAUUUAUUAGCCUUUUUGUCGUCUUUGAGCAGAAUACCUCAUACUUAAAGAAAAAAAAAAUCAUAUGGCAGGACAUGUUGAAAAAAUGGAAAAAGUUAAGAGAAUUGUUCAUGAUGCACAUUCUCUUACUGCAUCUAGUUGUUUUCUUGCAUGUCAGGAAAUGUGAAGGGGAUCAAUAUUCAUGUUAUAGAAAUAUGAAAUAACUAAACAGUGAGAAAAGAAAUUAGAUCACACGUAAAAAAUUAAAAUAAAAAAUAAGGAAAUAAGAGAAAUGUUCAUAAUUCAUAUUCUCAUAAUAAACAAAUAUUUUUUUUCUCUUGUAUGUCAGAAAAUGUGAAAAGAUUAUUAUUCAUGCCUCACCCCCCAAAAAAAAAGUUAUAACAGGACAUUGGAAGUGAAUAAAAUCAUAUGUAAAAAAAAAAUAAAACAAGAGAAAUGUUGAUAAAAAAAAAAAAAAAAACUUGGAAACGACUAAAACCUCCCAGAAAAUAGCAAAUGAACCAAUAGAUGUAGCAGAACAAAACUAAACAUGCACAGGAAAAAAAAAGAAAGAAAGAAAGAAAGAAAGACAGCUUCCUACUCAAACAAAUACACACCAACAGAAUAAGGCCGAACGGGAAAUGAAGAAGAAAAAAAAAAAAAAAAACAUGAUCCUCUCCAAUAAUCGUGAAUACAAUACAGCAAGGGUGGCGCUUCCUACUGCGGGACAAAGCGGCAGUCACCCCAACGAGGGAUGGAGGAAAGAACACUCGUGCAUCACCGCGGGGCUUUGAUCGCCGAAACAGGAAUAGAAUGCAGCUUAAUAGUGGUGAGGGAUGAGCGUGGCGGUGUUAGUGGUGAGGUAGAAAAUUUAAUGUCAGGUGGUGGAGAGAACACUGGAAGAGGAGAUUGUGUGAAGCCAAUGGAGUGAACAAAGCAUCAAUAUAAACAGGAAAAAGAAAGGAACACGAGAGAGAGAGAGAUGUAUACAUAAUAAAAUAAAGCAAGGCAACCAAGAGACAAGACGAAACAAACAAGACUUAUAGGAUGACAAAAGGAAGCAAACCAGGCAGACAAAGCGACACACCCUGACACAAACCCUCAGUGAAGCAACGAGACAAAGCAUCACAGGGCCAGACAGUUCAACACCUCAGGGCGGUAAAGAAAACGGGAACCAUCGUCACUGAAAGACAGAAAGAGAGCCUGGAACUGAAAACUAGAAACCCGAGUGGCCAUUCUGGUAUUUAUCACAGUUGUCUUGUCUUGUACACGCUCUGGCCUCCCCAUCAGCCUCUCCCCGCCCAGCACAGCCCCGCCACACCUGAGGAAGCACCACAGUCUUUCAGGAACGUGGCGGGACCGAGGGGCGUGACUCGGGACCUCAGCAAGGAAGAGGUUCAGACAGCCAGACGCAUAGCAACUGCUUCAAGGAUAGAAGAUGGACAAGUGCCGGACUGCUGAGCUUAAAGGAGAAGAACCCAACAUUUCUUGUCUCGGCCUGGUGAGGGACUUCAACCUUGUGUCUAUGGGUUCUGAGCCACGCACGCUGACCACUACCGACUUUUUUUUUCUUUUUCUUUGGGGGGGGCAUGAGAGGGAGUGCCGUUUGGAAAGAGAUCGGCAGAGUGAGCGAGAAGGGAUAAAAAAAUGAGUGGCGUUUGGAGAGAGAUUGAGAGAGUAAGUGAGAACGGAUAAGAGUACUAAGAGGUUGAGAGAGUGAGAGGAAAUUGAAAAUACCACCAAAGUGAUAUUUGAAUAGCCACCAAAGUGAUAUUUGAAUAGCCAAGGAUUGGAUAUAAUAACUAGGAACUUUGAGAGAAAAGCAGCUUAUAUAAAUUCAGUGUUUUCUUCUUUUAUGGUGGUGUUUGGAAAGAGAUGAGAGAGUGAGUGAGUGAAUGGAAGUGAAAAAUACUACCAAAGUGAUAUUUUGAAUGGCCAGACUUGUAGAUAAUCAUGAGAAUUGAGAGAUGUAAAACACAUGUAAAUUCUGUAUUUUCUUCUUUUUGAGUGGCGCUUGGAAAAGGAGUGAGGAAUGGAAAGAGUGAGAGGAAGAAAAAUACCAUCAAAGUGAUAUUUAACUAGCCAAGGAUUUGUACAUAAUCAUGGGAAUUAUAAGAGAUUUACAGCACAUUUAAAUUCAUGUUGCGAGACUGAAUAAAGUCCAUAUUGUUGUAAAUUCUAAAGACUUCGGAUUGUGAGAGAGAUUAAGUUAUAUUCUUUAAACAGAGACAUCAGAAAGCCUUGACUCGAUGUUGAGAUACACGAGAAGUUAACAUGAGAAUAACAGAUAAGAAGAGACGUCUAGAGUUGAAAUAGAGGUAUUCGUUAAACUAAAAGACACGACAGAACGAAGAGGAGAAUAAGGUGACACAUAGUGAGAAAAUAGAUCAGUUAACAUCAUAGAUUAAACUGGAACAUAAUAUAGAAGCAUAGGGAGAUAGAAUAGAGGGAGAAAAGCAUAUGAUAGUGAAAACUGAGAUGGGCUACAAAAUACAAGACAGUAUGACAGGGUACAGUGAAAAGAGAAUAGAAAGAACUGAAAUUGAAAUAACGAGACAAUUAAGAGAAGAACAAUAAAAUAGAGAAAAUAAAAUAAAACGUAGAGAACAAGGGAAAACAAAGAGAACAGGAUAGUAUAGAGAGAACAUGAUAUUAUUAGAAGAUGAAACGUGGCAUAAUUGAAAAAAAACAAGGUAAAAUGUAAAAAAAGAAAUGGAAAACAUAAAUAUGGCAUAGAACAAAAAAAGAGAAGUAUAUAAUAGUUUUGAAAAAAAGAUGGAUAAAAAAGAUAACAUAUGAGAUUAAGAUAAAUGAAAAGAAAUAAGUAAUAUGAAAGUGAACAAAUGAGAGAUCAAAUGUCUCAGGAAACAACAAAUUAUUCCAACAAAUUAUUCUUCCUGUCAAUAUCCUAACACACACACUUGACAUCCCAGUGGAAACCAUUUAGGCUUACAAGACAAGAUUUGGUGUGCCGCAUAUAGGAAAUUACACUGGGGGCCGUAAGUGUACAGGGAGAGGUGGGGAAGCAGGCGGCGCACCUCUGGAGGCUGUCACGUCAGGGCGGCGGCGGCGGUGGCUGGCGAGAUUUGUGGUGACUUCCUGGUGACGCUUUUGAGGAAGGAGAAAUGA